AUGGGGGGCGCCGGUGAUGACGCUCUGCCCGGAGUUCCGCGGAUCUGCGUCUGCCAGUCGCGUUUGGCCUCCGUCCACUGUGCUCUGCCGGCCCUGGCCCGCGCCGGGGUGGCCCUUGGCUCGUCACCAGGCUCAGCUAGCAUGUAUUUUCAGAACACUGAGUGCAUAUCUUGCCUUGCAAUGCUGCUGAUUCGACAACCGAACUGGAUUCAAACUGGACUUGCGACCAGAGCAACCCCAAGCAAGAUGAACUCGAUUGGAAGAUGUCUUCUAAACUCUGAAGGCAAGCACUUGGCCGACACUUUUGUUCGUGUAGAAGGCAUGUCAUUUGAUUCAUGCCAAGAAGCGUACAAAUAG
rnacentral:rRNA from 1 species